CUUAUAAGGGGAUCGACUUGGCUGUUUUGGGUUGUUAGCUUCGUGUGCAUGACAAGCUUGAAUCCUUUUCUUUCUUGAUAAACACAAGCUUGAAUCUUUACUACCUGUUCGAGGACCAACGGAAAGCUUGGAGCGUUUUUGUGCAACCUAUCGUCGGCCAAAGGUCCUCAGGUACUAUUAGAACAUGGAAUGCAUCCAGACUCAUAUUUGGCAAAACAGUUUCAGUAACAGUAUCAAGUAUUAAUUGCAGCAUGGAUAAAGUACAGGCUUGUGUUGAUUAAUCUUUGGUGACGGCUUUCUUGGACAGUUCUGAUUUUUGUGUAACAAGAGAUGUCAACCAUGGCCAGGGAGCAAGAAAUAGAAGAGGUACUGAAUCAUUUAAAAGAUGUGAAUGUUAAGACUAUCACACUUUGGGGGAAGGAAGGAGUGGGGAAGACAUGGACUGCCAGGUCUGUAAUGCAUCGUGCCAUUAAGGAGAAUCUGUUUGACAAUGACAGUAUCAUUUGGAUUACUGUUGGUAGAGGUUGUGGUGGGUUAAGAUUGAUAUGGAAGAUUGCCCAGGAGUUGUCAUUCGUGACUGACUCUGCAGACUAUGACAAUGAUGAAGAAGAGAGUAUGGAAAGUAUGGUGGAAAGGAUCUCUGCAUCUCUGAUGGGGAAGAGAUUCUUUCUGAUUUUGGAUGAUAUAGAUUGGUCUUCUCAAAAUUUCUUUGAUGAACUGGGGAUUCCAUACCCAGAUGGGCAAAAUGGAUCUAAGAUUUUGAUCACUAGAUCUGAUAUUUCUGUUGAUAUAAUAGAUAGACAAAAUGACUCCAAUACUUCUGGUCUUAAAACAGCCAUCGAUGGGGAUGUAUCUCUUCACUUAAAUUCUUUAUCUGAGGAAGAUGCAUUAAAAUUGUUUCAUGAAAAGAAAUGCAUCAAGGUUUCUCAACACAUUAAUAUACUUGUGCAACAUGUUGUUGAGAAAUGUGAGCAUUUGCCACUGGUGAUUGUUGUGAUAGCAGGAGCACUGAAAGACAUCAAUGACUCAUCAGCACUGAAGGAUGCAUUGGAUAUUGCAGUCAAUUCAGGAAACAGCAAUUCAUACUUGCAGUUGCUUCAAUUUGGUUACAACAUGUUGCCAAGUGAUUCUAUAAGGAAUUGCUUUUUGUAUUUUGCCACUCUUACUUCGGAAGUCUGUGAUAUUCAUUAUAAUGAGUUGGUAACUUAUUGGAUAAUGGAAGGAUUAAUUGAUGAGUUUGGUCAGAUUGAGGAAACUUAUGAAAAAGGUCAUGCUGUACUCAGGGAGCUUAUAGAUCGUGGUAUGAUUCAACAAAGGGAUGACCAUGUUAGCAUGCAUUAUCUUAUAAGAAAAAUGGCCUUACACAUAAUAGACAAAUAUCACUGUAAAAUUUUUGCUAAAGCUGGUUUUGGUUUAACUGAGCCUCUGAAAAAUGGCAUUUGGAGAAGUUUUAAGAAAAUCACAUUAAUGGAUUAUGUGAUUAAUGCAUACAACAGUCGGUCAAAAAUCUACAACCCUUGUGCAUUGCUUCUUGAAGGAGAUAGAAAUGGCCUGUUGAGGGAAAUCCCCAAGGCAUUCUUUCUGCACAUGCAAAGGCUUCAAUUUUUGGCCCUUCUCCAGGUGAAGACUAAAUUGCUUCCUUCAUCCCUUUCUGGCUUGGAGCAACUUCAUGUGCUUCUACUAAGGAAAUGUGAUUCUCUUAAGGAUGUAAGCACUAUCCAAGGACUUAGAAAAUUAGUGGUGCUUGACUUUUCAGGUUGCAAGGCCUUGAAGGAAAUUCCAGAUGGAUUCUUUGACGAUAUGCAUUAUCUUCAAGUCCUUGAUCUUUCAGAAACCUCUCUCAAACAGCUCCCACCAUCGCUUUCUAACCUCACUGGCCUCCGUCAGCUCUUUCUAAAAGGUUGUUUGUACUUGGAAAAGCUUCCCAGUCUUGAAGCUCUUAGGAAACUCAAGGUCUUUGAUCUUUCAGAUGCUGCAAGUAUAAAAGAAGUUGGCAAUGAUAACUCUUUUAAUUAUAUGAGUCACCUUCAAGUUCUCAACCUGUCUGGAACUGCAAUUGAAUUCUUACCAGAACUUUGCAAUCUCAAGAACCUCUACCAGCUUUUGCUUGCAAAUUGUUCAAGGCUAAGACAAUUUCCACAGAUCAAGGCACUUGAGAAGCUUGAGGUGCUUGAUGUUUCAGAUGCUAGCACUUUGAGUGAAGUUCCAACCCUUGAUUGUUUGCCUAACCUUAAAGUUCUCAACUUCUCUGGAACUUCAAUUCAACAGUUACCAUUUUUUCACAAUGAUAGUAUGCUCCAUCAGCUCUUAUUAAGGGGUUGUACAUGCUUAAAAUCAUUGCAACAUCCAAGAGUACUUGUAAAACUGGAGUUGCUUGAUCUUACAGAUACCAAAAUUUCGAAUGGGAUUCAAGAUGAGUCAUUUUGGUUUAUGCCCAACCUACAAAUACUCUACCUGUCCAAAAGCUUUGUUAAAGAGUUGCCAUCCUUUCUUAACCUCAUGAACCUCCGUCAGCUUUUUUUAACAAAGUGCUCAAGCUUAACAACCAUUCCACCUUCAGAAAAACUUACAAGACUAGAAGUUCUUGAUCUUUCAGGUGCUAAAGCUUUGAGGAUAAUUGAUGAAAAGUACUUUGACCAUAUGAUUUCCCUUCAAAUACUCAAACUCUCUGGAAGUCAAAUUGGAAAAUUACCAUCACUUUCUAUGCUCAGGAACCUCACUGAGUUAUUAUUAAGUGGUUGUCCACUCAGAAACUUACCAGAUCUAAAAGAACUUACCAAACUUGAGAAGCUUGAUCUUUCUCAUAAUAGUGCUUUGACGGAAUUACAAAAGCAAUCCUUUCAGCAUUUGCAUCAACUUCGCAUACUCAACCUGUCAUAUACGUUACUUGAAAGUGUACCAGAUCUAAAAGCACUUACCAAACUUGAGCAGCUUGAUCUUUCUCAUAAUAGUGCUUUGAUGGAAUUACAAGAGGAAUCCUUUCAGAAUUUGCAUCAACUUCGAAUACUCAACCUAUCUUAUACAUUACUUGAAAGCUUACCAUCCAUAUCUGAACUCACCAAUCUCCAGAAGUUACUGCUGAAAUGUUGUUCCAGAUUAGUAGGGCUGCCUUCAUUGAGAAAACUUAGCAAACUGGAGGUUCUUGAUCUUUCAGGGACUAAAAUUGUAAAAUUUCCUUAUGAAACCUCAGAAUUGACUUGUUUGAAGCAGCUUGAUCUACUGUGCCUGGAGGAGCUUGGAGAUGUUGACUGGGGAGAAAUAACGUGGUUACCUGAAGUUGUAAACUGGGACUACAACAUUUCCAACACACCAACUGGAUGGCCUGACAUUUUGGUAAGUAAUAUUAGCUCUAUAAAAUUUUUAGAAGAAUGGUUUCAAUACUUCCCACAAUUCCAUUUUUCAAUUUGUGGUACCAAGGAAUGGGAUAGAGAUAAAGAUCUUUCAUUCCGAAGAACGAAGUUUUGUUUCCGAGAACUUUACUUCAGGAAUAGACACUUUCCUGAUAAAUCGGAGAAUUGCCAAUUAUUGGAGGUUCCUUAUCCUCGAUCUUUGGAGCUCAUUGAUGUUCAUUACUUUCCCAGUGGCAUUGAGAUGAUACUUAUUCACACAGAACUCCUCUCACUAAAGAACUGCAGUUUCAUUACACGAUUACUAGAUUUGGGUGCUCAAAGAACCAGGUUACUGAAAGAAUGUUGGAUAGAGAAAUGCCAUAGGAUGGACUGCAUUGAUGGAGGACAAGAGGCUGUAGAAGAAGAUGUGGAUUUAAGCAGCUUAGAGAAACUAUGGGUCUCUAAUGUUGCAAAUCUAAGGCAUAUAUGUGAAGGAAACAUAUGCCCAGGGAACUUCUCAUGCUUGAGAUGUUUACAUUUGGAAUGUUGUCCACGUCUUGUCAAUGUCUUCUCAUCAACAUUGGGGCUAGAAAACCUUGAAAUACUUGUAAUUAAAUUUUGUGAUAAGAUAGAAAAUAUAUUUGGACAGAUACUAUUUGGUAGAGGACUUCCAAAGUUACAGAGACUAUUCCUCUGGGAACUACCUCUGUUGAAAACUAUAUAUGAUGGCUUCUUGCCGUCUCUGCACGAUCUUAAAGUGAGAGAAUGUCCAGAGCUAAAGGAACUUCCACUUGUUGUAACUGAGAUAAGAACUCCAGUUGAGAUCAGAGGAGAACUCUCAUGGUGGAACAACUUGAUAUGGAGAGAUGAGAGAAUUAAGUCCCAUAUCUGCUAUAUUAAAUGGGGCAAUUUCUGAAUUUUGAAUGUUAUACACAGAAAAAAGGGAGUGAUUCAGUUACUCUGAGAGCCUAACUGCAGUUUUUUUGCAGUUAGGCUUUUGAGUAAUAUAAAUGAGUAAACAACACAGAAACAAAAUCCUGGAGUUCCUCUAAAAACAUUUACCUCGUGCAUUUAACUGCAGAAGCUAGAGGCUUGAUGAAGAUAUUAGUGAUCUUCAGUCUUGAUGAACUUCAAUUCAAUCUCUCAUUUCUCAGUUGACUCUCUAAUGAAAUGGUGUCUUAGCUCAAUGUGCUUUGUUCUUCCAUUAAAAACUGGAUUUUUAGUCAUUCCAAUUGAGGGGACCAGGAUGUAGAGGAGCUGAAUAUCAAGGGAUUGGGAGUAGGACAAACUACUACAUUGGUAAAGGGGAGGGUCCCAACAUCAGCAGUGUCCACGACUAGGACCAAAGUUAAUGAUGACAUUGCUAAAGAAGUUGACACAAAGGACACUACUUCGUUGUCUUUGAUAUUGAGGGGAGUAAUUUUACAACACCAAUAGGGUCUACGGUUGUAGAAUGAACAAUUACUGAUGGGGAAGGAGUUGCCCCUAUUGUAGAAUCUGUAAAUAUUGAACCCUCCUCUGAUGUAAGUAUGGAGGGUGUAGAAAUCAUAGGAGUAGAGGAUUCUUCCAUGAUUGAGGUUGUCAUUGUACAUAAUGAGGGUGUUGAGACUGUUCUCCGAGGAUAGUGUGGAGGAUGUGAAUGUUGUUUAGACAAGAAAUAAUGAUUGCGAAGAUAAUGCUGCAGUUGUACAUAAUGAGGGGGAAGCCAUCAAUAAGGCAUGUGAGUAAACUGGUGGGAGUGUAGGUAAGGAGGCAAAAAUUGCUAGUUAGGGCCACCACGGAGGUAAUGCUUACUUCAUAUAGAUGUGUGUUUAUGACUUGUAUUGUUUUGGUGAUUUAUUGUCUUAUGGUAAUUAUGCUUGUGUGCAGAGUAUUGGUGGAGACGAUGUACCUAUAGACUUCACAUGCAUCAUUGGUCAUGAUAUCAUUAUGCUGUACUUGGGCAACAACCAUGAUCGUUGUG